UUAGAAUAUCAACUUACCCGCGCACGAUACUUAGCGUUGUUGAUGCAAAUCUGGUUCAAAUCUCGAAAUUUGUGUAAGCAGCUCACAUCGCUCUGAUAAAUCCCACUUAAAAUUGUCAUUUUCCUGAAUGAUUUCAGGGUUGUAAACGGGUCAAGUUGUGCAACGGUGGUCGACAAAUGUAAACAUGUUGGCAACUCGAAUUUCAUCUUUUCCACAUGAUACGGGACUUUCAUUGCAAGACUCACCAAUCGCGGGCAACUUGUUGUGAUUGCCCUGAUUCCAUUAGAUGAGGAUGGAAAAUCAAGAUGGAGAAAAAUAAAACUUCCAGAGCAUACUUUUACUCUUUGAACCCCAUGACAAUUACCGACGACUAAAACUUUCAGAACUGGACAUAAUUGCAGCAUUAGAUCGAGGGUCUUGUCAUUCAGCUUAAUGUAGAGCAAAUAGAGGGUUUCGAGGCAGGCGAAGCCACCACAGGAGCCAGGCAUGUCUUCGAGACGAAAAUUCCUGAGAGACAGAUAUCUGAGCUUGGUGCAAAAAAACACAGAAUUCGGAACCUCAACCUCUGUAUGAAACUGGAGACUUAUCUUUCUCGCAUCUUUUAGAGCGGCAUGGUGAAUCCACUCAUUUAUCUUUGCAUUUGAAACGACGAAGCUGAUUAAUCCGUGAAAUUGGAAAAGUUCAAGGGGUACAGAAUGCCACUUAAGAAUACCAUCAAUUAUGUUUUGGAUUUCAAGUAGGCGGGCUGAUGAAUAAAAUAUUUCCUCUGAAAACCUUAGGUUGGGUAAGUACCUCCAAAGAAAUCUCCAUCUCUUAGAAAUCACAGAACAACGAAUUGCCUGAUCCAAAGGAACUCUACUCAGUAUCAGGCACAGUAAAGAAUCCGUCUUUUAUUUUCUUCUAUCACUAAGCUCAACAUGUUUCUGCUUGACCGACGGCAGCGGCUUCAUGCGAGGCGUUCACGGUGUUCAUGAUCAAUGGCUGGAUCGCGGGAAGAAAUGGAGGGGUUUUAUUUAACCUACAAAAUCCUCCCAUAUUUUACCAUCCGACUAGCAGAGGCAGGAGCUACAGGGGAAGCAGGAGCACCGGAAGCAGAGGCAACAAAGCAAGCGUUUAUUCAGAACCUCCAGAUCCUGAAGCAUCUAUUGAUUUGGAACCUCCAGAUCCAUCUGAUGUCAUUUCAUGUACUGGUUUUCUAGCUCCAGAUCGAGGGGUUUAGAGAUCUUCAACAGUUUUCGAUGCCAUAGCCAGUCCAAGGGUCGAAUCAGGUUUUACUUGAUAUUUCAGAUUUCUAUGAGGAUUAGAAAAGAGAUUCAGUAUUGUCAAUUGCAAAGACAUAUUCAACUAUGUCAUUGUCCUCCUUCAAUAGCAAUGACUUCAUGUACCAAAUCUAAGAUUAUUGUAGAUCAGCCAGAGGCCAAGCUUUUUGACACUACUACUCCAAUGGUUAUUCUACGUCAACAAUUCUAUUAGGCUAUAUUCUUGGUGUCAAUAAGAAAUGGCAGACCAGGGCAUAGGCCUUGAGAAUAUAAGCAAGGGAGAAUAAAUCUAUGAUUCUUUGAUAGCGAUAGACUGGGCUAAUCCUCAGGCCAUAGAUAGCACAUACCAAUCCCUUAUAAGAGAAAGUAGCUAGAUGCAAGAGGGGAUAUGUAUGCAUAUCUUGAGAUUGGUCAACUGAGCAAGAAGAAUAUUAUUUUGAAAGGUUGAAUUUCUAUGAUAUAUGUAAUCCCAGCAUUCAUCCUUUGGUACACUAUUAAACUCCAGAGGUUAACAAUAGAGAGAAACCAGUUAUAAUUUCUCCUCAUUAGAAAUAUUAUGUCCUAUAUAAUAUAAUAACUUAAUAGAUGAUUGAGGUCCAAAUUUUGCUUUGUUAGUCUAUGUAGAAAUGCCAUUCUAUUGUUUUAUUUUUCAUCAUCUUGUAGACCAAAUGUGUGGUGGCUGGAAGAGGUAUCAGGGAUAUACAUACAUAUAAAUAAAGGAUACCUCAAGUUGAGACAAUUUCCUCAAAAAAUGUCUGUGUUAUUUAUAUGUAUGUAUAUCCCUGAUUCCUCUUCCAACCACCACACAUUUCAGGGCACCGCUACAUUCCACUUUAUAUAGUUUUCCACUUUUCAGGGCACCACUACAUUCCCGAAGCUACAGCAAGGUUGGUUAGUCUUUGUUAUGUACUAUAUCUUUGUAGUUUGGAAAAGAAUGCUCAACUUGUAGUAACGACUAUCUAAAGAUUGUAAUUUCUGUUUUUUUAAGUAAUAAGAAUAUUAAUACUUUUGUUUGAAAGA